CUUAAUUUGACUCAACACGGGGAACCUCACCCGGCCCGGACACCGCGAGGAUUGACAGACUGAGAGCUCUUUCUCGAUUCGGUGGGUGGUGGUGCAUGGCCGUUCUUAGUUGGUGGAGUGAUUUGUCUGGUUAAUUCCGUUAACGAACGAGACCUUAACCUGCUAAAUAGUGACGCGGUUCAUCGAACCGUGGGCCACUUCUUAGAGGGACUAUCGGAUUCAAACCGAUGGAAGUGUGAGGCAAUAA
rnacentral:rRNA from 1 species